rnacentral:rRNA from 1 species
GAUGAACGCUGGCGGCGUGCCUAAUACAUGCAAGUCGAGCGAACAGAUAAGGAGCUUGCUCCUUUGACGUUAGCGGCGGACGGGUGAGUAACACGUGGGUAACCUACCUAUAAGACUGGAAUAACUCCGGGAAACCGGGGCUAAUGCCGGAUAACAUUUAGAACCGCAUGGUUCUAAAGUGAAAGAUGGUUUUGCUAUCACUUAUAGAUGGACCCGCGCCGUAUUAGCUAGUUGGUAAGGUAACGGCUUACCAAGGCAACGAUACGUAGCCGACCUGAGAGGGUGAUCGGCCACACUGGAACUGAGACACGGUCCAGACUCCUACGGGAGGCAGCAGUAGGGAAUCUUCCGCAAUGGGCGAAAGCCUGACGGAGCAACGCCGCGUGAGUGAUGAAGGUCUUCGGAUCGUAAAACUCUGUUAUUAGGGAAGAACAAAUGUGUAAGUAACUGUGCACGUCUUGACGGUACCUAAUCAGAAAGCCACGGCUAGCUACGU